GAUCAGAAGCGGACAAGCAAACAGCGGAUGUGCAGUUCCUCUCUUCGCCGAACCCGGUUUUCCCUUUCGGAGCAGCGCGACCGAUUUCCGGUUUCCCCGCCGCAACCACCGUUACCCCCCCCCCGCCCCAAUCCCCGGCGACUCCAGCGACGUCACCGGUUCAGCUCCUGACCUUUCGGCGAACCGCAGAACCACAGGCGACCCGUUCGACGUCAUCACUCCCCGCCCAGAUGUCGCUGUGACAUCACCCCGCACGUGCCUGCGCUGGCACCGCGUCGUCCUGGCGAGCGCCUCCUCGCGGCGGAAGGAGAUCCUGGGGUUCGCUGUGCGAGACAUGUCGGCGGGGUUUCACGUGAGUGACACUUGGUCCCCACGGGAUUGACAGCGACUAGCGGAGUGGCAUGUGGACGUAGCUUCAGGUGACCUCACUGACCCCGCCCCUGACUCCACCCCUUGUGAUGACCCCACCACUGACCCACAGGCCUUGGAGGGGCUGAUCCUGGAGAAGUCAAAGGACCAGGAGGACGCCAUGGGGGGUGCUGUACAGGCUGAGCAGGAAGCAGAGCAGCACAGCGUCAUCAUGAGGGUAGCCAUCUUCACCUGGGGCAUCCACGGAGGAGGAGCUGAUCCACGACUACUUGGACAACAGCACACCAGCGAAGGAUGGGACAAGGCCUGGGGCCUCCGCCAUCCAUGCGUGGGGAGUGAUGCUGGUAGAGGGCAAAUUGGUGACGUCAUCAAUGCAGCGGGCUUCCCACUCAACCACUUUAGCCGCAAGCUUGCAAGGGCAGCUGCCAGAGACAGGAAGUGACAUCGCUGUGGAGAGGGCAGCAGGAAGUGAGGUGGAAGAAAAGUGUUUUGAAACUGACCCUACAGAUAAAAGAGUUCAUCAUGAAUGCGAUACCCUCCUAUACAGUUGUUAGAAGCAACCCUCCAUCUCCAACUCCAAAAAUAAAUGAAAACCAAACCACACAGUUGGAAAUCAGGGGUCUGCAACAACACAAGGAAGCAAGCAACCCGUGAGAAAGCACUGGCAUGGAUGAAAACAGACUCACUGGAAAGAUGCAAAGCAAUUUGGCCUCCUCUGUAAAUUGUGACAGACAUCUCCUGACAACACUUAAAGCAUCUCAAACCAUCCUUGCCCUGAUCUAUGAGUUCUCAGAACAGAAGGACUACUGAGCCAGGCGUGGUAGCACAUGCCUGUGAUCCUACAACUCAGAAGACAGAAGAGGAAUUCUAGGUCAGCCUGGGCUAGACAGACAGCAAGACUCUUGUUUUGUUUUGAAAGGCUGGUGAGGUAGUUCAGCGGGUUAACUGCCUGGUCUAAGCCCAGUGACGUGAGUUUGUGUGCUGUGGAGCUUCUGCAAACCCUGCCCCUGCCAAAUAAAAACUCGUAAUUUAUAACUCACAAAAA
rnacentral:lncRNA from 1 species